UACAGAGGGUGCAAGCGUUAAUCGGAAUGACUGGGCGUAAAGGGCGAGUAGGCGGAAUAAUAAGUGGUGUGGUAAAGACAUGGGCUUAACCUGUGGGUGACACGUCAUACUGUUAUUCUAGAGAGGAGGAGAGGAGAGUGGAAUUUCCGGAGGAGCGGUGAAAUGCGUAGAUCUCGGAAAGAACACCGGUGGCGGAGGCGACUCUCUGGCCUCCAUCUGACGCUGAGGCGCGAAAGCGUGGGUAGCAAACAGG
rnacentral:rRNA from 1 species